rnacentral:rRNA from 1 species
AUUGAACGCUGGCGGCAUGCCUUACACAUGCAAGUCGAACGGCAGCACGGGGCAACCUGGUGGCGAGUGGCGAACGGGUGAGUAAUGCAUCGGAACGUACCUUUCAGUGGGGGAUAACGUAGCGAAAGUUACGCUAAUACCGCAUAUUCUGUGAGCAGGAAAGCAGGGGAUCGCAAGACCUUGCGCUGAUUGAGCGGCCGAUGUCAGAUUAGCUAGUUGGUGAGGUAAAGGCUCACCAAGGCGACGAUCUGUAGCGGGUCUGAGAGGAUGAUCCGCCACACUGGAACUGAGACACGGUCCAGACUCCUACGGGAGGCAGCAGUGGGGAAUUUUGGACAAUGGGGGCAACCCUGAUCCAGCCAUGCUGCGGGAGUGAAGAAGGCCUUCGGGUUGUAAAGCUCUUUCGGCCGGGAAGAAAUCGCACGGGCUAAUACCCUGUGUGGAUGACGGUACCGGAAUAAGAAGCACCGGCUAACUACGUGCCAGCCGCCGCCGUAAGAC